rnacentral:rRNA from 1 species
UGGAGGAAAGCAGGGGAUCGUAAGACCUUGCGCUUUUGGAGCGGCCGAUGUCUGAUUAGCUAGUUGGUGGGGUAAUGGCCUACCAAAGCUUCGAUCAGUAGCUGGUCUGAGAGGACGGCCAGCCACACUGGGACUGAGACACGGCCCAGACUCCUACGGGAGGCAGCAGUGGGGAAUUUUGGACAAUGGGCGCAAGCCUGAUCCAGCCAUGCCGCGUGAGUGAAGAAGGCCUUCGGGUUGUAAAGCUCUUUCAGCCGGGAAGAAAAGGCUGCGACUAAUAAUCGCAGUUCAUGACGGUACCGGAAGAAGAAGCACCGGCUAACUACGUGCCAGCAGCCGCGGUAAUACGUAGGGUGCGAGCGUUAAUCGGAAUUACUGGGCGUAAAGGGUGCGCAGGCGGUUUUGUAAGUCAGAUGUGAAAUCCCCGGGCUUA